GUAUGAGUUAUAAGUGCCAUUACAGUCUGAUGAUGGAGACAAAAGUUAGUCGAGGGAACUCUUUAACGAUUUAUAGCAAUUACCUGCUGUUUGAACUUAAUUCGUUUCUAUUGAUGAGAACUUUGCAUAUAUAUGUGUUAUAAGUGCCAUUUCACGAACUUUACUCAUAGUAUGUCGACGCAUUAGCGCAGCGGUCACAGCACCGGCUGUUGCGCUGGCGUUAGUGGGUUCAAUCCUCGCGCACGACAGACAUUUGUAUUG
rnacentral:misc_RNA from 1 species